rfam:Firmicutes bacterium CAG:534 genomic scaffold, scf111
AAGGUUGUAAUGACCAUGCCGAAGACAGUAGGUGCCAGACAUUUUUGUUUGGCGUAAGCGUAUCGCCUACCGAGGAGAAGAGUUUACAGGAUAGAAAUUCUGCCCCUUCCGUUUUCGGAAAGGGCUUUUAUAUUGUAAUA